UACGGAGGGUGCAAGCGUUAUCCGGAUUCACUGGGUUUAAAGGGUGCGUAGGCGGGCAGGUAAGUCAGUGGUGAAAUCUCAGAGCUUAACUCUGAAACUGCCAUUGAUACUAUCUGUCUUGAAUGUUCUGGAGGUGAGCGGAAUAUGUCAUGUAGCGGUGAAAUGCUUAGAUAUGACAUAGAACACCAAUUGCGUAGGCAGCUCACUACGGAAAUAUUGACGCUGAGGCACGAAAGCGUGGGGAUCAAACAGGAUUAGAAACCCCCGUAGUCC
rnacentral:rRNA from 1 species